UGGGGAAUUUUGGACAAUGGGCGAAAGCCUGAUCCAGCAAUGCCGCGUGUGUGAAGAAGGCCUUCGGGUUGUAAAGCACUUUUGUCCGGAAAGAAAUCCUUGGCUCUAAUACAGUCGGGGGAUGACGGUACCGGAAGAAUAAGCACCGGCUAACUACGUGCCAGCAGCCGCGGUAAUACGUAGGGUGCAAGCGUUAAUCGGAAUUACUGGGCGUAAAGCGUGCGCAGGCGGUUUGCUAAGACCGAUGUGAAAUCCCCGGGCUCAACCUGGGAACUGCAUUGGUGACUGGCAGGCUAGAGUAUGGCAGAGGGGGUAGAAUUCCACGUGUAGCAGUGAAAUGCGUAGAGAUGUGGAGGAAUACCGAUGGCGAAGGCAGCCCCCUGGGCCAAUACUGACGCUCAUGCACGAAAGCGUGGGGAGCAAACAGGAUUAGAUACCCUGGUAGUCCACGCCCUAAAACGAUGUCAACUAGUUGUUGGGGAUUCAUUUCCUUAGUAACGUAGCUAACGCGUGAAGUUGACCGCCUGGGGAGUACGGUCGCAAGAUUAAAACUCAAAUGAAUUGACGGGGUCAUAGCUGUUUCCU
rnacentral:rRNA from 1 species